GAGGGGAAAUGGAGAACAGAUUGAAGAGGCAAGGAGCAGAUACUAAGUCAAUUAUGAGGCUGAGGUGUUUUGGCUGAAAGAGGGAGCUGCAGAGUGUAUAGCAGGGCACUUGGUCCUUCAGGGCACCGGGUCAAAAUGAUGCUAGGAAGGAGUCUGCAUAACUAACAUGUUUGUGGCACAUUCCCUCUGCCUCCAGCUUCAGGAACUGUCAGAUGCUGACCUUGUAAUGUGAUCCAUCCCUCAAUUCCUUAUGACUCCCUCACUGAUCUGGAGCUCAUGUGAUUGGGAAUGUCAUCAGAAAGAAAGAGCAGCCCAGAUUUGCAGGGUCUUGGAGACAGUGAAGCCAUAAGAAGGGGCUGAGGCAACCACAAAUGAUUCUUGAUGUCAGUGGGGCACGAAGGUGUUCAUGAAGAUCUUUUUAGGGAUGGGAAGUGAUUUUAAGUAAAUCACCUGUUAUUUCUGACCUGACAAGAGUGUUUGAAAUGUUAUAUGGAGGAAUUGCAAAUUAAUUUUGACUGAUUUUCAGUUUGGCUGUGGGUGGGAUUACACACUGAAAAACAUGUCAUCCCCCAGUGUUAAUAAAAUUCUUCAUAUAUUAGUAUCCA
rnacentral:lncRNA from 1 species